rnacentral:rRNA from 1 species
GAUGAACGCUAGCUACAGGCUUAACACAUGCAAGUCGAGGGGCAUCAGGAAGAAAGCUUGCUUUCUUUGCUGGCGACCGGCGCACGGGUGAGUAACACGUAUCCAACCUGCCCUUUACUCGGGGAUAGCCUUUCGAAAGAAAGAUUAAUACCCGAUAGCAUAAUGAUUCCGCAUGGUUUCAUUAUUAAAGGAUUCCGGUAAAGGAUGGGGAUGCGUUCCAUUAGGUUGUUGGUGAGGUAACGGCCCACCAAGCCUUCGAUGGAUAGGGGUUCUGAGAGGAAGGUCCCCCACAUUGGAACUGAGACACGGUCCAAACUCCUACGGGAGGCAGCAGUGAGGAAUAUUGGUCAAUGGGCGCUAGCCUGAACCAGCCAAGUAGCGUGAAGGAUGAAGGCUCUAUGGGUCGUAAACUUCUUUUAUAUAAGAAUAAAGCGCAGUAUGUAUACUGUUUUGUAUGAAUUAUAUGAAUAAGGAUCGGCUAACUCCCGUGCCACCAGCCGCGGUAAUACGGAGGAUCCGAGCGUUAUCCGGAUUUAUUGGGUUUAAAGGGAGCGUAGGUGGACUGGUAAGUCAGUUGUGAAAGUUUGCGGCUCAACCGUAAAAUUGCAGUUGAUACUGUCAGUCUUGAGUACAGUAGAGGUGGGCGGAAUUCGUGGUGUAGCGGUGAAAUGCUUAGAUAUCACGAAGAACUCCGAUUGCGAAGGCAGCUCACUGGACUGCAACUGACACUGAUGCUCGAAAGUGUGGGUAUCAAACAGGAUUAGAUACCCUGGUAGUCCACACAGUAAACGAUGAAUACUCGCUGUUUGCGAUAUACAGUAAGCGGCCAAGCGAAAGCAUUAAGUAUUCCACCUGGGGAGUACGCCGGCAACGGUGAAACUCAAAGGAAUUGACGGGGGCCCGCACAAGCGGAGGAACAUGUGGUUUAAUUCGAUGAUACGCGAGGAACCUUACCCGGGCUUAAAUUGCAGUGGAAUGAUGUGGAAACAUGUCAGUGAGCGAUCACCGCUGUGAAGGUGCUGCAUGGUUGUCGUCAGCUCGUGCCGUGAGGUGUCGGCUUAAGUGCCAUAACGAGCGCAACCCUUAUCUUCAGUUACUAACAGGUCAUGCUGAGGACUCUGGAGAGACUGCCGUCGUAAGAUGUGAGGAAGGUGGGGAUGACGUCAAAUCAGCACGGCCCUUACGUCCGGGGCUACACACGUGUUACAAUGGGGGGUACAGAAGGCAGCUAGCGGGUGACCGUAUGCUAAUCCCAAAAUCCUCUCUCAGUUCGGAUCGAAGUCUGCAACCCGACUUCGUGAAGCUGGAUUCGCUAGUAAUCGCGCAUCAGCCACGGCGCGGUGAAUACGUUCCCGGGCCUUGUACACACCGCCCGUCAAGCCAUGGGAGCCGGGGGUACCUGAAGUACGUAACCGCAAGGAUCGUCCUAGGGUAAAACUGGUGACUGGGGC